CCCUGGUAGUCCACGCCGUAAACGAUGAAUACUAGGUGUGGGGGUUUCAACACCUCCGUGCCGCCGCUAACGCAUUAAGUAUUCCGCCUGGGGAGUACGGUCGCAAGAUUAAAACUCAAAGGAAUUGACGGGGACCCGCACAAGUAGCGGAGCAUGUGGUUUAAUUCGAAGCAACGCGAAGAACCUUACCUACACUUGACAUCCCUUGCAUUACUCUUAAUCGAGGAAAUCCCUUCGGGGACAAGGUGACAGGUGGUGCAUGGUUGUCGUCAGCUCGUGUCGUGAGAUGUUGGGUUAAGUCCCGCAACGAGCGCAACCCUUGUCGUUAGUUACUACCAUUAAGUUGAGGACUCUAGCGAGACUGCCUGGGUUAACCAGGAGGAAGGUGGGGAUGACGUCAAAUCAUCAUGCCCCUUAUGUGUAGGGCUACACACGUGCUACAAUGGCUGGUACAGAGAGAUGCAAUACCGCGAGGUGGAGCCAAACUUAAAAACCAGUCUCAGUUCGGAUUGUAGGCUGAAACUCGCCUACAUGAAGCUGGAGUUACUAGUAAUCGCGAAUCAGAAUGUCGCGGUGAAUACGUUCCCGGGUCUUGUACACACCGCCCGUCACACCAUGAGAGUUGGCAAUACCCGAAGUCCGUGAGCUAACCGCAAGGAGGCAGCGGCCGAAGGUAGGGUCAGCGAUUGGGGUGAAGUCGUAACAAGGUAGCCGUAGGAGAACCUGCGGCUGGAUCACCUCCUUU
rnacentral:rRNA from 1 species